AACGAACGCUGGCGGCAGGCUUAACACAUGCAAGUCGAGCGCCCCGCAAGGGGAGCGGCAGACGGGUGAGUAACGCGUGGGAAUCUACCCAUCUCUACGGAAUAACGCAUGGAAACGUGUGCUAAUACCGUAUACAUCCUUCGGGAGAAAGAUUUAUCGGAGAUGGAUGAGCCCGCGUUGGAUUAGCUAGUUGGUGGGGUAAAGGCCUACCAAGGCGACGAUCCAUAGCUGGUCUGAGAGGAUGAUCAGCCACACUGGGACUGAGACACGGCCCAGACUCCUACGGGAGGCAGCAGUGUGGAAGAUUGGACAAUGGGCGCAAGCCUGAUCCAGCCAUGCCGCGUGAGUGAUGAAGGCCCUAGGGUUGUAAGGCUCUUUCACCGGUGAAGAUAAUGACGGUAACCGGAGAAGAAGCCCCGGCUAACUUCGUGCCAGCCGCCGCCGUAACAC
rnacentral:rRNA from 1 species